AUUUAUAUAGUUUAAUAAAACAAUACAUUUUCGUUGUAAAAUUAAAAAUAAAAUUUUUAUAAAUA
rnacentral:tRNA from 2 species